CAAUAGCGUAUAUUAAAGUUGUUGCGGUUAAAAAGCUCGUAGUUGGAUUUCUGGUAGGAGUGACCGUGCCAGACUUGAUUGUCUGUGUAUUGUGUUGUCUCCAGCCAUCCUUGUGGAGAACUUUUCUUGCAUUAAUUUGUAGGGAUUGGGACCCGCAUCGUUUACUGUGAAAAAAUUAGAGUGUUUAAAGCAGGCAAUCGCUUGAAUACAUUAGCAUGGAAUAAUAAGAUAGGACUUUGGUACUAUUUUGUUGGUUUGCAUACCAAAUUAAUGAUCAACAGGAACAGUUUGAGGAUAUUCGUAUGAACAUGUCAGAGGUGAAAUUCUUGGAUUUUGAUCAGACGAACUACUGCGAAAGCAUUUAUCAAGGAUGUUUUCAUUAA
rnacentral:rRNA from 1 species